CCUGGUGGUGGGGGAAGAGCGGUUAUGAGGCCCCUGUAGCUCCAGAGGUGUGUUUGGGGUGGCAUGACCGGAGAAUAAGGGGUGGGGGGUAAUGUCGGAAA